UUUAAGGUUUUCUGUGAUAUGACGUCAUCUGUUGGAGGUUGGACUGUGUUUCAACGACGUCAAGAUGGAAGUGUAAACUUCUAUCGAGGUUGGAAAGACUAUCCCAUAUACCUGCCUUCAUAACACUGCUU